rnacentral:rRNA from 1 species
GAUGAACGCUAGCUACAGGCUUAACACAUGCAAGUCGAGGGGCAUCAGGAAGAAAGCUUGCUUUCUUUGCUGGCGACCGGCGCACGGGUGAGUAACACGUAUCCAACCUGCCCUUUACUCGGGGAUAGCCUUUCGAAAGAAAGAUUAAUACCCGAUAGUAUAAUGAUUCCGCAUGGUUUCAUUAUUAAAGGAUUCCGGUAAAGGAUGGGGAUGCGUUCCAUUAGGUUGUUGGUGAGGUAACGGCUCACCAAGCCUUCGAUGGAUAGGGGUUCUGAGAGGAAGGUCCCCCACAUUGGAACUGAGACACGGUCCAAACUCCUACGGGAGGCAGCAGUGAGGAAUAUUGGUCAAUGGGCGCGAGCCUGAACCAGCCAAGUAGCGUGAAGGAUGACUGCCCUAUGGGUUGUAAACUUCUUUUAUAUUAGAAUAAAGUGCAGUAUGUAUACUGUUUUGUAUGUAUAAUAUGAAUAAGGAUCGGCUAACUCCGUGCCAGCAGCCGCGGUAAUACGGAGGAUCCGAGCGUUAUCCGGAUUUAUUGGGUUUAAAGGGAGCGUAGGUGGACUGGUAAGUCAGUUGUGAAAGUUUGCGGCUCAACCGUAAAAUUGCAGUUGAUACUGUCAGUCUUGAGUACAGUAGAGGUGGGCGGAAUUCGUGGUGUAGCGGUGAAAUGCUUAGAUAUCACGAAGAACUCCGAUUGCGAAGGCAGCUCACUGGACUGCAACUGACACUGAUGCUCGAAAGUGUGGGUAUCAAACAGGAUUAGAUACCCUGGUAGUCCACACAGUAAACGAUGAAUACUCGCUGUUUGCGAUAUACAGUAAGCGGCCAAGCGAAAGCAUUAAGUAUUCCACCUGGGGAGUACGCCGGCAACGGUGAAACUCAAAGGAAUUGACGGGGGCCCGCACAAGCGGAGGAACAUGUGGUUUAAUUCGAUGAUACGCGAGGAACCUUACCCGGGCUUAAAUUGCAGUGGAAUGAUGUGGAAACAUGUCAGUGAGCAAUCACCGCUGUGAAGGUGCUGCAUGGUUGUCGUCAGCUCGUGCCGUGAGGUGUCGGCUUAAGUGCCAUAACGAGCGCAACCCUUAUCUUUAGUUACUAACAGGUCAUGCUGAGGACUCUGGAGAGACUGCCGUCGUAAGAUGUGAGGAAGGUGGGGAUGACGUCAAAUCAGCACGGCCCUUACGUCCGGGGCUACACACGUGUUACAAUGGGGGGUACAGAAGGCAGCUACCUGGUGACAGGAUGCUAAUCCCAAAAGCCUCUCUCAGUUCGGAUCGAAGUCUGCAACCCGACUUCGUGAAGCUGGAUUCGCUAGUAAUCGCGCAUCAGCCACGGCGCGGUGAAUACGUUCCCGGGCCU